CCCAGAGUACUAGGAUUACAGGCAUGAGCCACCGCGCCCGGCCGGCUUCACAUUUCUUUCUUUGCUUCCCCAGGGAUGGAUGCUACAGUGCCUCAACUCUGCCUCCCACACAUCCUGUGGACCCUGGGCUAAGAGCAGAAGCAGACUCCCUAGUCAGAGGGUCCACCUGUACUUACCUAACCCAGGACGGCCACCUGGUUCUCUCAAGUUCCCUGCCCCAUCCGGCCCACAGCUGUGCACUGGGUCCCUCUCUCCCCACACAUCACCACACUCAGCACUUUCCAGCUUGCUGAUUUUCACCAGUCUAAUGGGUGUGACGUUAUAUCUUGUUUAAUUUGCAUUUGAUUUUUGCUAUGAUUUGAACAUGAAUUAUGCAGAAUAGCUUUUUUGAUUUCCUUCUCUACAUGUAGCCAUUUGUAAUCUUUGCUAUUUUUUUAACUGGGGCUCCUGUUUUUUUCUUGUUGACUUGCAGGAUUUCAGGUGGGAAGGUUCUACUACUACUCAUCCCUGUUUUAUGGAGGCGCUGCAGGCUCAGAGAGGCUAAAGGAGUAGCCUAAACUCACACAGCAAGAAGCGCACCUGAACACAGCCUGCCUAAUGUGUGCCAAGGAAACAGCUGGGCCAGCACAGGCCUAGCCCUCAAAGUACUGGCCUGACAGGUGUUGCCCCUGAUGCAAAGCCAACAGAGGGCUGGGAUGCAGCGGACUGAAAACUCUGCCACACAUGGGCAGGCAGCACUCUUCAGCUGCUCCAGCAGGGGCUCCUGUUGCAUCCCUGGGGUCUGUGGCUCAGGCUGCCCCCCAAGACCCCGGCCCCACCUCUCAGAGGUAGCCAAGAACUGUUCCAGGUCCUCAAAGGAGCUGUCUUUGUCUGGCAGUGAUCAUGCGCCUCUGUGGCCACCCGUCAGAAUGAGAAGGAGUGGCAGUCUACCUGCUGGCCCCAGCCGGUCACUGACCUCACCCGUCUGAGCUUCGGGCCCUCAUCUGUGACACCCACCUGUCUACAAAGCUGCCACACUAUGAAUCAGUUCAGAGAAGUGAUUCCUGGAUUACUUCCUGUCGGUGAUGUUUCAAAUAAAGUCUGACUCACCCCCAUGGGGAAGUGGAGGGACCACCAGGAUGAUCAGAAAGGAUGCUGUUUCCUCCCGGGCUUUGGCGAUCACCAGGUUCUCCAUCAUCUGCCUCUGCAGAGACAGGGUCUA